rnacentral:rRNA from 1 species
GACGAACGCUGGCGGCGUGCUUAACACAUGCAAGUCGAACGGAAAGGCCCCUUUGGGGGUACUCGAGUGGCGAACGGGUGAGUAACACGUGAGUAACCUGCCCUUGACUUCGGGAUAACUUCAGGAAACUGGGGCUAAUACCGGAUAGGAAUCCUUGCUGCAUGGUGGGGGUUGGAAAGCUUCGGCGGUUUUGGAUGGACUCGCGGCUUAUCAGCUUGUUGGUGGGGUAGUGGCUUACCAAGGCGUUGACGGGUAGCCGGCCUGAGAGGGCGACCGGCCACAUUGGGACUGAGAGACGGCACAGACUCCUACGGGAGGCAGCAGUGGGGAAUAUUGCACAAGGGGCGGAAGCCUGAUGCAGCAACGCCGCGGGCGGGAUGACGGCCUUCGGGUUGUAAACCGCUUUCAGCAGGGGCGAAGCUUGUGGUGACGGUACCUGCAGAAGAAGCACCGGCUAACUACGUG